GAAAUGCGAUAAGUAAUGUGAAUUGCAGAAUUCAGUGAAUCAUCGAAUCUUUGAACGCACCUUGCGCUCCUUGGUAUUCCUUGGAGCAUGCUUGUUUGAGUAUCAUGAAAUCUUCAAAGUAAAUCUUUUGUUAACUCAAUUGGUUUCUACUUUGGUAUUGGAGGUCUUUGCAGCUUCACACCUGCUCCUCUUUGUUCAUUAGCUGGAUCUCAGUGUUAUGCUUGGUUCCACUCGGCGUGAUAAGUUAUCUAUCGCUGAGGACACUGUAAAAGGUGGCCAAGGUAAAUGCAGAUGAACCGCUUCUAAUAGUCCAUUGACUUGGACAAUACUUUUAUGAUCUGAUCUCAAAUCAGGUAGGACUACCCGCUGAACUUAAGA
rnacentral:misc_RNA from 1 species